rnacentral:lncRNA from 1 species
GAUCAUAUUUUUUAUUUUAAUAGACAAAUAAUAGAAAACAAACGAGGCUAACAUAUGCUUGUGUUUAUGGGAAUUAUUUCAUUACAAUCCAAAUGUUGACCUCCAAAAAUGGCUCCAACAGGUUCCCUAGCCUUGUCCCCUCGAUACCUGCGCAUGUAGCACACCGUCAAGAGGCAAAGACGGCCGGACAAGAAAAAUGUCCGACGACCGUUUGCACUCCGACGGUCAAGUCAACGGCUGGACGGAAAUAAAUAUAUAGAGUGCAAUAAUAUGGAGAUGGGGGUUUGGCUAGGAAUGUAGAACAUACCUUGAUUGUGUGAGUUGAACCCAUAUAUAUAGAGAAAUGGAUGUGAAGCGGGCCAAACGGAUUAGUGGGCCUAAGUCUGAGCCUAAUACGAGGUGAGCAAAAUAAUAGGCGCCUCGACAGGCGAUUCGGCUAGACUUCUAGGGCCUCGGCUGCGCCUCGGUUGGCCUUCUCAGAGCCUCGGCUUUGGGGCCCAACACUAAUGGGCCUAGCUCGGGUCCAAUAAGAUGACCCAAUAUGGAGUGAUAAUUCAUAGGCGUAACAGUAGUCCCCCAAGUCCGAGUCGUGUUAUUUAUAUGCGGGUUGGACUUGAAAUAUAACUCUCAAGUAGGCGAGGUCUUACAGAUUGCCUCAGAAAGAUGUGUCAGAAUAAGCGAGGACUUACGAAUUGCCUCGAAAGAUAUACUGCGUAUACUUUUUCAAAAUUUCGACAUCUCCUCUGUAAUAUGGACUAAACCAAUCCUGUAAUACAAUACAAUAUAUCCACAGCACAUAUACCAAAUAAAUUUGGGGUCCAUUUGCCCCUUUAAAUGCUCAUAAGGUGUAACAUAUCGCAUUUCUCCAAGAUAUGUGCAGAAGGUCUGUCAUGCAUUAUAAUAAAUCAUAUGCUCGCACAGCUCAAUGUAUCAGUAGUGCUAUAGUGAAGCAAGUAAUAUGAUGUCGACAAUAAAAUGAAAAUGAUGAUAACAUGGCAUGCGUAUUGGCUAUAAUGAAAUUAAUAAAUUACGUGCUAGUAAUAAUAUGGUAUUCGUGCUUCGAAGCAACAAUAUAGUGCAUAUGAUAUGGCAAUGAUAUGUAGUGAUACUGAGAUACUAGUAUUGCAAUAGUCCCCCAAGUUUGAGUCUAAUAUUCAUUUAUGCAAUGCGUGGACUUCAGUAAAGCCAUUGGGUUGGGUAAAAAUUGAAAGUAGAGGUGGUUGAGAAACCGAACCUGCGAGGCUUGUGAAGGCUAAAUUGUGAUGAAGCCGAGUUGGUUGUGAAAUCGAACCUGCGAGGCUUGUGAAGGCUGAAUUGUGAUGAAGCCGAGGUGGUUGAGAAACCGAACCUGCGAGGCUUGUGAAGGCUGAAUUGUAAGGCUCAAGCUGCUGAGGCACCUACUAUCGAGGCACCUCCACCAUUGACUGGGCUUAGUUUAGUUCACAUUUCACUGUAAUCUAUCUUCAUCACAUGCUGUUUUUCUCCGAAGUGUGCUGGCCUCGUUAAGCAAUUGAACUUAAUGUUGAUUGAAGAACUAAACAACUUUAACUUGGUACCUUAACUCCAAUCACUUAAAACAACUGAAUUGUAUGCAACUUUCUUGAGUUAUGACCAACAUUACUUAAGUAAAUGAACAACAGUGUGAGCCUCAAACUUAAGCAAAUGAACUUUACUUAAGCAUAAUAACUGUAACCUGAAGGGAUUCAAUGAAUGCUGUUGCAGUCGAACUUAAGCAUAAUAAUUGUAUGAGCCUCGGAAUUCACGUGAAGUGGCUUCUCCCAUUGGCGUUCAGCCUCGCCAGAAGGAGGCAUGUGCUAGCACCUCGGAGUUCAAGCGAGGUGGCCCAGAGAUGGGACGCGAGCCUCUCCUCCGAGGUGACGACGCAUCCCAGACAUGGUGAAUGGUGCAGCCAUGUUGGGGCUUCUCCCCUUGGCGCUCAGCCUGGCCAGAGGGAGGCAUGUGCUAGCGCCUCGGAGUUCAAGCGAGGUGGCCCAGAGACUGGACGCGAGCCUCUCCUCCGAGGUGACGACGCAUCCCAAACAUGGUGGAUGGUGCAGCCAUGUUGAGGUAAUAUUAGCUCUCCGAAGAUAAGUAGAUGUAACAUGGCUGAGGCAGAGGCAAAAUUCUGAACUGAACAGCUGUACUGAUAACGAAGCAGAGGCUGACUCUGAACUGAACAUAAUAGAUGUACUGAUACGAUGCAGAGGCAGACUGAACUGAACGUAGAUAGUUGUUAUGUAGAGGCGUGAUGACCUUUCUGAACAUAAGCGGGGCUAUAAUGCAGUAAUUCGUACAACAAGGCUUCUCAUGAAGUGGUGAACAAAUAUCUAGCUGGUGACCCGUGAUAGUGAAGGGUGAGGGAUAAUCAUCUCACGAAGUUAGGAAUAAGCAUCUGGCGAAGCGGGGAAUGGACAUCCCGCGAAUCACUCUCAAACUAUCGGAGUCUUAUAAGCAGCCUCGGACAAACGAGGUCUUAUAACUAAGCUCAACGAUAGUGAAAUGUGAGGAAUAAACAUCUCGCGAAGCCAGGGAUGAACAUCUGGUGAACUGUCGAACUAUCGGAGUCUUAUAAGCUGGCCUCGGAUAGACGAGGGCUUAAAGCUAAGCUCGGCGAUAGUGAAACGCGAGGAAAAGACAUCUCGCGAAGCCAGGGAUGAACAUCUGGCGAACUAUUAGAGUCUUAUAAGCUGGCCUCGAAUAGACGAGGACUUAGAGCUAAGCUCGGCGAUAGUGAGGCGGGGAAUAAGCAUCCCGCGAAGCCAGGGAUAAACAUCUGGCGAGGCGAGGAAUAAGCAACCCGCAAAUGAGGCCAAGAAAGGCUCCUUUUGCAAGGGCAAACACGUCUGACGAUUUGCCUCUUCCUUUUUUCAAGGAACGAGGACUCCAAAAUAUACCACCUAUUCCUUUAUUCAAGGAGCGAGGUACUCUAAGAUAUGUUGCCUUUGAUAAUAAGAUAUUCACAAGCUAAGGCUCGUCUUAAAUAAAUAAGAAAACCACAAGUUCGGCUCGACUUGUCUCCAAUGAUAAGGAAUUCAUGAGCUAGGGCUCGUCUUGAGCAAUUGCGAUGAUGUUUCAAAGAUGCGAGGUCUUAGAACUUGCCUCGAGUAAUAGAGAUGAUAGUCAAAUGUGCCUUAAAUAAGAGAAAUCCCAUGUCGAUAUAUUUUUGAACACUUGGUGUGCUUAUGACCUUUGUAUAAGUUGUUGUUGAUGUUUAUUUGUAGCCUCCAAGUUAUUUGAAACAAUUGUGGCAACUCAGGUAGAAGGAAAAGAAUCCAGAAGAUGUGCCGAACUUGAAGAAAAUAACUCACCAAAUAUUGUCCCAUG